AGUGAACGCUGGCGGUAGGCCUAACACAUGCAAGUCGAACGGCAGCACAGUAAGAGUUUGCCUUUACGGGUGGCGAGGGGCGGACGGGUGAGGAAUACAUCAGAAUCUUCUUUUACGGGGGGGACAACGUAGGAACACUGACGCUAACACCGCACACUACGUACGGGUUAAUGCAGGAGAGCUUGAUACUUUGCCUGUUGCUAUGAGCUGGUGUCGUAUUAGCUAGUUGGGGAGGUAAGGGCACACCAAGGCCACGAUCCGUAGCUUGUCUGAGAGGAUGAUCAGCCACACUGGAACUGAGACACGGUCCAGACUCCUACGGGAGGCAGCAGUGGGGAAUAUUGGACAAUGGGCGCAAGCCUGAUCCAGCCAUACCGCGUGAGUGAAGAAGGCCUUCGGGUUGUAAAGCCCUUUUGUUGGGAAAGAAAAGCAGCAGGUUAAUACCCCGCUGUUCUGACGGUACCCAAAGAAUAAGCACCGGCUAACUUCGUG
rnacentral:rRNA from 1 species